rnacentral:rRNA from 1 species
UACAGAGGGGGCGAGCGUUAUUCGGAAUUAUUGGGCGUAAAGGGCGCGUAGGCGGUUCUUUAAGUUGGAUGUGCAAUCCCCGGGCUCAACCUGGGAACUGCAUCCAAGACUGGAGGGCUUGAGUGCUGGAGAGGGUGGUGGAAUUCCGCGUGUAGCGGUGAAAUGCGUAGAGAUGUGGAGGAACACCAGUGGCGAAGGCGGCCACCUGGACAGCAACUGACGCUGAGGCGCGAAAGUGUGGGGAG